rnacentral:lncRNA from 10 species
AGCCUGCAGAGAGACUUCUUCAGCACCACAACCAAGGAGGGAUAUGAUAGGCUGCCAGUGGAUAUAACUCCUUUAGAAGAAAGGAAAUUAACUUUUGAUACCCAUGCGUUGGUUCAGGACUUGGAAACUCUUGGAUUUGACAAAACACAAGCAGAAACAACAGUAUCAGCAUUAACUACUUUAUCAAAUGUCAGCCCGGAUACUACCUAUAAAGAGACGGUCACUCAAGCUCAACAGAAAAUAACAGUACAACAGCUAAUGGCUCAUUUGGACUCUAUCAGGAAAAACAUGGUCAGCCUAGAGAAAAGUGAAUUCGCAAAUCUCAGAGCAGAGAAUGAGAAAAUGAAAAUUGAAUUAGACCAAGUUAAGCAACAACUAAUACAUGAAACCAGUUGAAUCAGAGCAAAUAAUAAACUGGAUAUCAACCUAGAAAGGAGCAGAGUAACAGAUAUGUUUACAGAUCAAGAAAAGCAACUUAUGGAAGCAACUACAGAAUUUACAAAAAAGGAUACCCAAACCAAAAGUAUUACUUCAGAGACCAGUAAUAAAAUUGACGCAGAAAUUGCUUCCUUAAAAACACUGAUGGAGUCUAACAAACUUGAGACAAUUCGUUAUCUUGCAGCCUUGGUGUUUAUUUGCCUGGCAAUAGCAUUGGGAUUUUAUAGAUUCUGGAAGUAG